UAUGAAGAACGCAGCGAAAUGCGAUAAGUAAUGUGAAUUGCAGAAUUCAGUGAAUCAUCGAAUCUUUGAACGCACAUUGCGCCCUCUGGUAUUCCGGGGGGCAUGCCUGUUCGAGCGUCAUUACAACCCUCAAGCUCUGCUUGGUAUUGGGCUCUGCCGGUCCUGGCAGGCCUCAAAGUCAGUGGCGGUGCCAUCCGGCUCCAAGCGUAGUAAUUCUUCUCGCUUCGGAGGCCGCGGUGCGUGCUAGCCAGCAACCCCCAAUUUUUUUCAGGUUGACCUCGGAUCAGGUAGGGAUACCCGCUGAACUUAAGCAUAUCAAUAAGCGGAGGA
rnacentral:misc_RNA from 1 species